rnacentral:lncRNA from 1 species
UUCUGUAAUAUUAUUUGUGAAUAAUUAAUUAUUGAUUCAUAUGAUAAGAAAAUAUUUAUUUUAUGUGGAUAUAAAUGAUGAAUUUAUUUAUGUGGUUAUAAUUGAAGGAAUAAAUGUUGAGGUAUUUUAUCAUUAUUUUGUCGAAUUGGAGGUAUUAAAAGAUCAAAUCGGUGGUCUUAAAGCUCUAUUGCGUGAGUUAUAAUUUUUAAUCCGACCGUUGGAUCGUUGUGAUUUUUGGAUAUGUUAUACAUAUAUAAGUUGAGUAUAUGUCCACAAAUUUUGAAUUGUUAAAAAUGAACGUAUGAUUUGUUAUGAAUUUUAAGAGGUGACUGGUUCAGAAAUUGUUGAAGUAUCCGAAUUUAUUAUUUUGGUGGAAAAUUCUAGAAUUGGUGAGCCCCACUUUUGGUUGGUGAGAAAUGUGCUUAAAUUGAAUUUCAAAUGUGGUGGGUGGCAAUAGUAGCAGGUAAAACCAUUAGGUAGCAGGUCAAGUCUUCUUCGGCGUGCUACCAUUUUCUUAUAAAUAGAGGGCUAAGUUAGAAUUAAAAAUCACACCAAAAAUAUAAGCUUUCUCUCUUUCUCUCUCUAUAUUAUCGAGCGUAUUCUUGUGAGUAUUUUGAUACUUUGAG